CCCUUUUCCCGUGCAUAUGCAUCGGACUCGGAUGACGAUGGUCCCGAUGAAGAAGUUGAUGAGGAGGGGUUCACGCCGAAGGAGGCCCAAGCAUUCAAGAAGGUAUUCGGGCGGGAUCACAAGACACCAUUGUUCAAGGAUCUUAGUCUCGCGGAUGAAGCCGUUGUGGAUGGUGGCAAAUGCAUAUCUCUUGGAGCUAGGCCAAGUUCUCAC
rnacentral:rRNA from 1 species